rnacentral:rRNA from 1 species
UACAGAGGGUGCAAGCGUUGCUCGGAAUUAUUGGGCGUAAAGGGUAGGUAGGUGGUCUUAUUUGUCUGAUGUGAAAUCCUUGGGCUUAACUCAAGAAGUGCGUCAGAAACGGUGAGACUGGAGUCCUGGAGAGGGUCGUGGAAUUCCCGGUGUAGCGGUGAAAUGCGUAGAGAUCGGGAGGAACACCAGAGGCGAAGGCGGCGACCUGGACAGGUACUGACACUCAACUACGAAAGCGUGGGGAGCAAACAGG